rnacentral:tRNA from 1 species
GGGGUGUUCAGUGGUAGAACGCUUGUCUGGCAUGUGUGAGACCCUGGAUUCAAUCCCCAGCACUACA